AUACGUAGGAGGCGAGCGUUGUCCGGAAUGAUUGGGCGUAAAGGGCGCGUAGGCGGCCCGGUAAGUCUGGAGUGAAAGUCCUGUUUUUAAGAUGGGAAUUGCUUUGGAUACUGUCGGGCUUGAGUGCAGGAGAGGUAAGUGGAAUUCCCAGUGUAGCGGUGAAAUGCGUAGAGAUUGGGAGGAACACCAGUGGCGAAGGCGACUUACUGGACUGUAACUGACGCUGAGGCGCGAAAGUGUGGGGAGCAAACAGGAUUAGAUACCCUGGUAGUCCACACUGUAAACGAUGAAUGCUAGGUGUAGGGGGUAUCGACCCCUUCUGUGCCGCAGUCAACACAAUAAGCAUUCCGCCUGGGGAGUACGGCCGCAAGGUUGAAACUCAAAUGAAUUGGCGGGG
rnacentral:rRNA from 1 species